AGAAUCAACGCUGGCGGCGUGCCUAACACAUGCAAGUCGAACGAGAAAGGGUAGCAAUACCUGAGUAAAGUGGCGCACGGGUGAGUAACACGUGACUAACCUACCUUUUAGUCGGGGGAUAACCUAGGGAAACCUGGGCUAAUACCGCAUAAUACCUACGGGUCAAAGCAGCAAUGCGCUGAAAGAGGGGGUCGCGGUCGAUUAGUUAGUUGGCAGGGUAAUGGCCUACCAAGACUGUGAUCGAUA
rnacentral:rRNA from 1 species